UACAGAGGGUGCGAGCGUUGUCCGGAAUCACUGGGCGUAAAGGGCGCGUAGGCGGCUUGAUAAGCGUGCGGUGAAAGCCCGGGGCUCAACCCCGGGUCGGCCGUGCGAACUGUCGAGCUGGAGCACUGUAGAGGCAGGUGGAAUUCCGGGUGUAGCGGUGGAAUGCGUAGAGAUCCGGAAGAACACCGGUGGCGAAGGCGGCCUGCUGGGCCGUAACUGACGCUGAGGUGCGAAAGCGUGGGGAGCAAACAGG
rnacentral:rRNA from 1 species